GACGUAGGGUGCGAGCGUUGUCCGGAUUUAUUGGGCGUAAAGAGCUCGUAGGCGGCUCGUCGCGUCAGCUGUGAAAACCCGCGGCUUAACCGUGGGCUUGCAGCUGAUACGGGCGGGCUAGAGUUCGGUAGGGGAGACUGGAAUUCCUGGUGUAGCGGUGAAAUGCGCAGAUAUCAGGAGGAACACCGGUGGCGAAGGCGGGUCUCUGGGACGGUACUGACGCUGAGACGCGAAAGCGUGGGGAGCGAACAGG
rnacentral:rRNA from 1 species